GAGAACCCCGGCGCACAUUGCGCACACGCUCGGCUGCGCCAUGAAGCUGCUCGGUCGGUCCGCGCUCGCUGCCGUCCUCCUGCUACUCCUCCUCGGCCUCCACACGGCGCGGCCCGGGAGGCAGGGGCGGCAGAAGGCUGUGAAGAAGCCCGGAUACUGCCCAGAGUUUUUACUCAGGUGCCCUUUCAUCCUCUUACCCCUGUGCCGCCGCGACAGAGGGUGCAAGGGGGACAAGAAGUGUUGCUUCUACAACUGCAGGCAUCAGUGUAUGGAGCCGUGGCUCAGCUUGGAGUGAGUUUGUAAUCAUGAGCCACUUUCCUCUCCACGUUUAACAUGUGAGGGAGAAACCUCGUCUUAACCAGACCUGAGAAGAUCCGUCAGACAGGCUCAGACUCGGAUAACUGAUCCCCGGUUCCUCCAAGCUCUCCUUACUCCCCAAGCUUCCUUUUAUCAGGAGUUAAAUGCUUAUUAACAUGAAAACAACACAAAGCAAUAAAGUGUUAUGUAUUUAAAACUACAUGAAAACCUAAGCCUGUUGGAUAGCCAC